AGGACGAACGCUGGCGGCGUGCUUAACACAUGCAAGUCGAGCGGUAAGGCUCCUUCGGGAGUACACGAGCGGCGAACGGGUGAGUAACACGUGAGCAAUCUGCCCUUCACAUCGGGAUAACCCCCGGAAACGGGAGCUAAUACCGGAUACGACCACUUCAGGCAUCUGAUGGUGGUGGAAAGUUCCGGCGGUGAAGGAUGAGCUCGCGGCCUAUCAGCUUGUUGGUGAGGUAAUGGCUCACCAAGGCUUCGACGGGUAGCCGGCCUGAGAGGGUGACCGGCCACACUGGGACUGAGACACGGCCCAGACUCCUACGGGAGGCAGCAGUGGGGAAUAUUGGACAAUGGGCGAAAGCCUGAUCCAGCAACGCCGCGUGAGGGAUGACGGCCUUCGGGUUGUAAACCUCUUUCAGCGCAGACGAAGCGAAAGUGACGGUAUGCGCAGAAGAAGCACCGGCCAACUACGUGCCAGCAGCCGC
rnacentral:rRNA from 1 species